AGGACAUCAUGAGCCGGCCAAAACAAAAUGCAGUGAAUUAAUUUCCAUUAUUAAAAUAGUUUUGAGAAAAACAAAAAGACUUUAGAGAAUCUCAUCUGGCAGCGUUUCUCAUGAAAUUUUGUUUUACGGUACCUCCCAAAAAAUGCGUGACUAAUCAUUAAGAUCUUUUCCAUAGAAUCUUUACAGCGGUUGUACCACGACAUCGUACCUGUGAUGGUGGUUAAAUGGUCAAGUGGAGAUUGAGGCCAUUUGCAAGUUUGCAACCCGUGUGCACCUAGACUUUGGUAUGCUUCCCAGGACGUGAGGUUAUGCUCUUAUUACCUUUGUACUUAUUGAUUUUGUUGUUGGGUCAUUGUUGAAUUGCAUAUUGUUUCUAUUUCCACUUUGUUCUCCCAUUUCAUUGUCCAUAAUAUUUCCGUGUUGGGAAUGUUGCUGUUAGUUCUGAUGUGUUGCAGGUUACCGUUGUAGUCUUGUUGCUGCGUCCUGCAUUGGAGCUUGGUUCUUCUCUCCUUGACUCCAUUUAUAAACCCGGUCCUCCAUUGUCGAAUGGCACUUGAUUUCUUGAUUGCAGCUUGGUUUUGCUGCCUCCUAACAGCUAGGUUAGAUAACAACUUGAGGUUGUUUCUAGGGCAUUUGAAUUAUUGACCAAUAUGCUUACUACUUGUCAUAGCAUUCUCUAGUGGAUAACAAAAUGGUAGCUCUCUUCAAUCCAUGGGCCUGCAGGCGUGAUUCUACCAGAAAACCUUUGCGGCUUACUGAAGAAUUGUGAUUGCAGUUGGAGCUUAUGUCCAAAAAGGUGUUGGCGGUACCGACCGUUGUAGACUCCGUGACAGUUGCCGCUGUUGGAUGUUCAUAUCACUGACGGAGUAGAACAUUAACCACGGCCAAAAAAUUCUCCUUAGCAUCAAAGGCGCUGGCAACGACAACCAUAAGAUCUAAUGCUCUAGAACGCCUUAAAGCAUUGUAAGUAUUGCUACCUGCACUGGUGGACCUUCCAUGUUUCCGCCCAUCUUCAAUCUUCUUCCAGUAAUUAUGUGCACCGACAUGAGGAUACAAGGUUAUAACUUUCAUAAGAACAAGCUACACUGGAAUUUCUGCCUUCUAAUGGGAGAGCAAGAGCUAUGGAGUCCAUGACAACCAAACUCUUAUGCGUAUUGCAAUUCACAACAUUUGUUAAAUGCAACAGGUCCUUUUUGUCAAAUGAAAAAUGGGAAAUUUGAAUGUCUUGUAACAAUUAUGCUUUGUAUGAAAGUGUGAAUUACUAAAACAGAAUCAAUGGAACUUAGGAUGUAACUUUGAAUUUGUUUCGUUAUGAUCUGCGUUUUCCCGCACGACUUGGCUUUGUCGCAGCUUGCGGCUUGUAUCUAUAUGUUUGGCUUAUGUAGCCUGUAGUCGUUUUUGGUUUAUGAUGUUGGCGUUGUAACGUCAUUUUUCCCUUUACCGUACUUGGUUCAUUUCACGUUUGAUGUUAUUUCUCUGCCAUGUACUGCCGCGUUCCAGUUUCUCAAGUCUACUUUCUCUUGUAGCUUUCUUUGCUUUUUAGUGGCAUUUUUCUUUUAUCU